rnacentral:lncRNA from 1 species
UUUGAUUGGACCACCUUAUUUGCUACACUUACCAAGAUAUUACAAUGAUGACUAGUAGGAUGGGCUAGAGAUUUAUUCCAUCAUUGCAUCUUCACCAACUAGUUCACCCCACCAUUUUUCUCACUCCUCUCCCUCUCAUUUUCAGCUGCCCACAUCUGAAUUCAUCACCAUCACUUCAACCUCCACUCCUUUGAUCCAUCUUUAAGUCUAAAACAAGUGUUAGAAAGAAGCCUUGUGGAGUUUGGAGCAUUAGAGCCUUGAAGAAGAAUCACCACUUGCAUUCUCACACCUCUUUCACCAUCAUUUCUUGUUCACAAGUUCAUCCCUAGCCCUUGUGCUAGUAGAGAUGGUCACCGUUGUAGUCGUGUUUGCUGAGGAGAUUUGGGUUACGAGUACCGAAGACGCAAUACUAUUUUUACAGACAAUUACAGACACUUUUAUAUAUGGUAUGAUUAGCUAA